rnacentral:rRNA from 1 species
GGUCAAGCUACUAAGGGCGCACGGGGGAUGUCUUGGUAUUAGAAGGCGAUGAAGGGCGUGGAAGUCUGCGAUAAGCCCGGGGGAGUUGACAAACAAGCGUUGAUCCUGGGGUUCCUGAAUUAGCUUGCACUGAAUACAUAGGUGUAAGUGGCUAACCCGGUGAACUGAAACAUCUAAGUAACCGGUGGAAUAGAAAGAAAAAUCGAUUUCCUCAGUAGCGGCGAGCGAACGGGAAAUAGCCCAAACCGUAGGGGUUUCCCCUGCGGGGUUGUAGGGCCUUUCAUUGUGGAGUUACAAAGCAAUCGACUAGCAGAACGUAAUGGAAAGUUCGGCCAUAGAGGGUGACAGCCCCGUAAGCGACAGUUGAAUUGCCUCCCGAAAGGUACCUGAGUAGGUCGGGUCACGUGAAACCCUGACUGAAUCGACGGGGACCAUCCCGUAAGGCUAAAUACUCUCUAAUAACCGAUAGUGAACUCAGUAGGGCGACUGAAAGAUGGGAAGAACCCCUGCUAGGGGAGGUUACUGAACCUGAAACCGUGUGCCUACAAGCGGUCGGAGCACUAUGAUUCGUUCAGUGUGACGGCGUGCCUUUUGCAUAAUGAUCCGGCGAGUUACCGUUACUGGCUUGGUUAAGACCUUCCGGGUCGAAGCCGUAGGGAAACCGAGUCUGAAUAGGGCGUAUUGUCAGUGGUGGUAGACGCGAAACUGCGUGAUCUACCCAUGAGCAGGUUGAAGCGCGGGUUAUACUGCGUGGAGGACCGAACCCACUUGGGUUGAAAACCGAG